AGCGACUUGGCGCAGCUGGCAGCGCGCUGGGCUCAUAACCCAGAGGUUGCCUGAUCAAAACGGGCAGUCGCUA
rnacentral:tRNA from 1 species